UACGUAGGGCGCAAGCGUUGUCCGGAUUUAUUGGGCGUAAAGAGCGUGUAGGCGGCCAUGUAGGUCCGGUGUGAAAACUCGAGGCUUAACCUCGAGAUGUCAUCGGAAACCAUUUGGCUAGAGUCCGGAAGAGGAGAGUGGAAUUCCUGGUGUAGCGGUGAAAUGCGCAGAUAUCAGGAGGAACACCAAUGGCGAAGGCAGCUCGCUGGGACGUGACUGACGCUGAGACGCGAAAGCGUGGGGAGCAAACAGG
rnacentral:rRNA from 1 species